AAGACCUUGCGCUUUUGGAGCGGCCGAMGUCUGAUUAGCUUGUUGGUGAGGUAAAAGCUCACCAAGGCUUCGAUCAGUAGCUGGUCUGAGAGGACGGCCAGCCACACUGGGGCUGAGACACGGCCCAGACUCCUACGGGAGGCAGCAGUGGGGAAUUUUGGACAAUGGGGGCAACCCUGAUCCAGCCAUGCCGCGUGAGUGAAGAAGGCCUUCGGGUUGUAAAGCUCUUUCAGCCGGAACGAAACGGUUACGAUUAAUACCCGUGACUACUGACGGUACCGGAAGAAGAAGCACCGGCUAACUACGUGCCAGCAGCCGCGGUAAUACGUAGGGUGCAAGCGUUAAUCGGAAUUACUGGGCGUAAAGCGUGCGCAGGUGGUCUUGUAAGUCAGAUGUGAAAUCCCCGGGCUUAACCUGGGAACU
rnacentral:rRNA from 1 species